rnacentral:rRNA from 1 species
AUUAAUUCGAUGCAACGCGAAGAACCUUACCAAGGCUUGACAUGGACCGGACCGCCGCAGAAAUGUGGUUUCCCCUUUGGGGCUGGUUUACAGGUGGUGCGUGGUUGUCGUCAGCUUGUGUCGUGAGAUGUUGGGUUAAGUCCCGCAACGAGCGCAACCCUCGUUCUAUGUUGCCAGCACGUGAUGGUGGGGACUCAUAGGAGACUGCCGGGGUCAACUCGGAGGAAGGUGGGGACGACGUCAAAUCAUCAUGCCCCUUAUGUCUUGGGCUUCACGCAUGCUACAAUGGCCGGUACAAAGGGUUGCGAUACUGUGAGGUGGAGCUAAUCCCAAAAAGCCGGUCUCAGUUCGGAUUGGGGUCUGCAACUCGACCCCAUGAAGUCGGAGUCGCUAGUAAUCGCAGAUCAGCAACGCUG